UACGAAGGGGGCUAGCGUUGUUCGGAAUUACUGGGCGUAAAGCGCACGUAGGCGGAUUGUUAAGUUAGGGGUGAAAUCCCAGGGCUCAACCCUGGAACUGCCUUUAAUACUGGCAAUCUCGAGUCCGAGAGAGGUGAGUGGAAUUCCGAGUGUAGAGGUGAAAUUCGUAGAUAUCAGGAGGAACACCAAUAGCGAAGGCAGCUCGCUGGGACGUUACUGACACUAAGGCGCGAAAGCGUGGGGAGCGAACAGG
rnacentral:rRNA from 1 species